rnacentral:misc_RNA from 1 species
GUGAGUCAUCGAAUCUUUGAACGCACCUUGCGCCCCUUGGCAUUCCGAGGGGCACGCCUGUUCGAGUGUCGUGAACUCCUCCACUCCUUACCUUUUUCGAAGGGUACGGGGCUGGGAUUUGGGAGCUUGCGGGUCCCUGGCCGAUCCGCUCUCCUUGAAUGUAUUAGCAGAGCCCUCGCGGCCUUGGUGUGAUAGACAUCUACGCCUCGGUGCAGCGCAUGAAUGGGCUAAGCUUCCAACCGUCUCGCAAGGGACAACGACUACCAACUUGACCUCGAAUCAGGCGGGACUACCCGCUGAACUUAAGCAUAUCAAUAAGCGGAGGA